rnacentral:rRNA from 1 species
AGAGUUUGAUCCUGGCUCAGGACGCCUUCUGGCGGCCUGCUUAACACAUGCAAGUCGAACGGGGAUCAGUUGAUGAAGUUUUCGGAUGGAUUCGAUUGAUUCUAGUGGCGGACGGGUGAGUAACGCGUGAGCAACCUGCCUCUUACAGGGGGAUAACACAGCGAAAGUUGUACUAAUACCGCAUAAGACCACGUCGGGGACAUCCCGAAGGGGUCAAAGGAGCAAUCCGGUAAGAGAUGGGCUCGCGUCUGAUUAGAUAGUUGGUGAGGUAACGGCCCACCAAGUCAACGAUCAGUAGCCGACCUGAGAGGGUGAUCGGCCACAUUGGAACUGAGAGACGGUCCAAACUCCUACGGGAGGCAGCAGUGGGGAAUAUUGGGCAAUGGGCGGAAGACUGAUCCAGCCAUGCCGCGUGAAGGAUUAAUGUCCUAUGGAUUGUAAACUUCUUUUGUACGGGAGCAAUAAGGGUCUCGUGAGGCCCGAUGAGAGUACCGUACGAAUAAGCAUCGGCUAACUCCGUGCCAGCAGCCGCGGUAAUACGGAGGAUGCGAGCGUUAUCCGGAUUUAUUGGGUUUAAAGGGUGCGUAGGCGGAAUGACAAGUCAGCGGUGAAACGCAAGGGCUCAACCCUUGACCUGCCGUUGAAACUGCCAAUCUAGAAUACGGAUGCUGUGGGAGGAAUGUGUGGUGUAGCGGUGAAAUGCAUAGAUAUCACACAGAACACCGAUUGCGAAGGCAUCUCACAAAUCCGUAAUUGACGCUGAGGCACGAAAGUGUGGGGAUCAAACAGGAUUAGAUACCCUGGUAGUCCACACUGUAAACGA